ACCAAUGAUCUAUGUAGAAAUAAUAUGCAGAAAUUAAUAAGAAUUAUCUGGAGUUAAAUAUACAAAUAUGUUCAUAAUUUUUAUUUCAAUUUUAAACAGGUCGAUAUCUGAUAUAGUUCUACACUAAAGAAUGCUCAUUAAUAUAAAUUUAGGUUUCAGAACAAUAUUCCAGUUAUGAUUAGCUUCCUAAAAGGAGCACUAAACUGAGGAAACAUAGCGUAAAUUGCUAGUGGUUAACAAUAAAAGCUCGAAAACGUAAAGUUGCCGUAUUUCUAUAUAAUAACCAUUUUAUCAAUGUCUUUUAGCCGCAUAAAAACCAAAUGAGGAAUGAAAACGCUCUAAUUUCAUCUAUAGGAAACGUUGCAACUUAAUGGAGUGGUCGCUCUAUUUGCCAAGGAGAAGACAAAUUCAUUUGUUGAUGACAUCUUCAUCUAUAAGCGUGGUGAAAAUAAAAUCCAAUGAAGAAUCUUUGAAAAACAUUAGAACAGAUGUUGGUUGCACAAGGAUGAAGAAGCUUGAAAUCGAAGAUUCAACUGAAAAUGGAAGCAAUUGAACAGGAAGAAAAAAAUUGUAACAUCUAACUAAACAGAUUAGAAUCACAGUAUAUAACUAAGAGUAGAGGAAGAGGUGAAUGUAGGGAUAGUGAAAGGCAAGGAAUAAAAUAAUUCAAAUUUAAUAAGGAUUUGCUCGAUGUUGAAGAAAAGAUACUGAUUCAGAUCAUAGUAGGCAGUUGUUUCCGAGUAUGAAAAGCAGAUGUCAGUUUGUUGGUUUGUUUUGGGGAAAAUAAACGUGUUUCUGUAAAACGAGUGAA
rnacentral:lncRNA from 1 species